GUCAACACAACUGAAACUAUUGAACAACAACAACAUGGAUCUCAUCCCCUUCCUCUCCCCAGGGACUAAGGUGAUGGUGGAGGUGGAGGUAGAGGAGGGUUAUGCCUCCCACGCUGUGGUGGAAUAAGUUUAUAAAUUUAUGAUUAUACCUUUUGAAGUGAGUAUUUCUUUGUAAGAGCUAAUCUGACUGUUGGUGGCCAAAUGGAACAAGAACUCAGGGGACCACGCUCUACAAUUGGGGGAACACUGUCAUUGGAGGCCCGAGCCACGUGCAGAAAGCCUAGACACCCCCAAUCCCCUUAAAGGUACUAAGUGAAAUGUAGCACACCUGGCCUUCAGGUAGCACGGGUCAAGAUGGUUGGUUUCACACAUAUAAUCACCAUGUUUUUAGCCACCCAGGUAUAACAGAAAGCCCUAAAUGUGCUCCUAAGAGAAUAAAGGGACCAGGCCUGGAGCCUGCUCGGUGUCUGUCGUUUACUCCAGAUGUAUGACCAGCUAUGUGCUGGACUUCUGGACUCAUUCAGGUAACGAAUGUAUCUUUAAGGUAUCACUGCUCCUGCUACUAGAAAAUUAAUUUUUCCUGGAGGUUGAUUUAAUUCAAUAGUUGUGACACGGUGGUGCCUGGGCCUUUUGGGCAUCAACCUCAGUUUUAAUUAAGAGUUCAUAAUUUUGUUCUCACUCGGAUGCUUCCAGGAUCUGUGAUUUCCACACAGGCUGCAAUACCUACACUGUUUAACAGGAGAUCUUUGAGAGUUUAUUUGGUUAGAGAAUCCAUCUCUGCGCUGCCAAACUGCUCAUCAGCCUCUUUGGAGGCAGUCAUUUGGUCUUCAGAAAAGAACUCCAGGGUCUAUUGAGAAAGCCACAUUUUCCCUUUUCCAGUUUGGUGUGCCUGAUGGACUUAAAUGCCCACCUUCUUGUCAGGAGGAGGCCCUGGAGGAGGAGCUUAGGGCCAGGUGAAGAAGCUGGUGAACACCUUUGGCUCAAAUGGUUACACAACACCCCAAGUGUUAGCACAUCAGGGCAAGCAGGGCAGCAUGAAGACCAGUCACCCAGAGGAGUUUACGGGUAUCCUUCUCACACUGGGUGUUCCUAUAAUCAGCAGAGAGAUACAGAGCUCUCACCGCACGAGCUACAGACUAGUCCUUGUGAUUCUGCUGAAGCAAAACUUUGUCAUUCUGGAAGGAGGAAAGAGGAGACAGAUGGGAUACCGUCACAACAAUGUAUGUGCAAGAUUCAGCUGCUCGUGGUGGUUUGACGUCAGCAUUUCUGGGGGUGUAAUCCCCUUGUGCAAUGCCCCUCCUCUUCUGUGCCAGGACGUGCUGUACGGCUGCCCGAUGCCCAAGACCCAGAGUAUACCAGGCAGAACUGGGGCUGAUCAAGCACCCAAGUCAGCACUGGAUGCAUAUUUGUUUAGCUUUUUUGAGCCCUUCCCUUUUCCCAGUGCAGUAUAUGGCACAGAGUAAGUCAUUAGUAAAUGCUUUUACAUUCA